AUGGGAGCUUGCUCCUGAUGGCGAGUGGCGAACGGGUGAGUAAUAUAUCGGAACGUGCCCUAGAGUGGGGGAUAACUAGUCGAAAGAUUAGCUAAUACCGCAUACGAUCUACGGAUGAAAGUGGGGGAUCGCAAGACCUCAUGCUCAUGGAGCGGCCGAUAUCUGAUUAGCUAGUUGGUGGGGUAAAAGCUCACCAAGGCGACGAUCAGUAGCUGGUCUGAGAGGACGACCAGCCACACUGGGACUGAGACACGGCCCAGACUCCUACGGGAGGCAGCAGUGGGGAAUUUUGGACAAUGGGGGCAACCCUGAUCCAGCAAUGCCGCGUGAGUGAAGAAGGCCUUCGGGUUGUAAAGCUCUUUUGUCAGGGAAGAAACGGUUGCAGCUAAUAUCUGCGACUAAUGACGGUACCUGAAGAAUAAGCACCGGCUAACUACGUGCCAGCAGCCGCGGUAAUACGUAGGGUGCAAGCGUUAAUCGGAAUUACUGGGCGUAAAGCGUGCGCAGGCGGUUGUGUAAGUCAGAUGUGAAAUCCCCGGGCUCAACCUGGGAAUUGCAUUUGAGACUGCACGGCUAGAGUGUGUCAGAGGGGGGUAGAAUUCCACGUGUAGCAGUGAAAUGCGUAGAUAUGUGGAGGAAUACCGAUGGCGAAGGCAGCCCCCUGGGAUAACACUGACGCUCAUGCACGAAAGCGUGGGGAGCAAACAGGAUUAGAUACCCU
rnacentral:rRNA from 1 species